GACGAGCCUCACAAACGUUAUUCGGAAUUACUGGGCUUAAAGGGUGCGUAGGCGGCGCGGAAAGUUGGAUGUGAAAUCCCUCGGCUCAACCGAGGAACUGCGCCCAAAACUGCCGUGCUCGAGGAAGAUAGAGGUGAGCGGAACUUACGGUGGAGCGGUGAAAUGCGUUGAUAUCGACCGGAACUCCGGUGGCGAAGGCGAGGUGCUGGACCCUUUCUGACGCUGAGGCGCGAAAGCCAGGGGAGCAAACGGG
rnacentral:rRNA from 1 species